UGGGGAAUAUUGCACAAUGGGCGCAAGCCUGAUGCAGCCAUGCCGCGUGUAUGAAGAAGGCCUUCGGGUUGUAAAGUACUUUCAGUCGGGAGGAAGGUGGUAAGGUUAAUAACCUUAUCAAUUGACGUUACCGACAGAAGAAGCACCGGCUAACUCCGUGCCAGCAGCCGCGGUAAUACGGAGGGUGCAAGCGUUAAUCGGAAUUACUGGGCGUAAAGCGCACGCAGGCGGUUGAUUGAGUCAGAUGUGAAAUCCCCGGGCUUAACCCGGGAAUUGCAUCUGAUACUGGUCAGCUAGAGUCUUGUAGAGGGGGGUAGAAUUCCAGGUGUAGCGGUGAAAUGCGUAGAGAUCUGGAGGAAUACCGGUGGCGAAGGCGGCCCCCUGGACAAAGACUGACGCUCAGGUGCGAAAGCGGGGGGAGCAAACAGG
rnacentral:rRNA from 1 species